rnacentral:rRNA from 1 species
CACGGGGGUUGCGAGCGUUGUCCGGAAUUACUAGGCGUAAAGGGCAGGCAUGCGGAUCCAUAAGUUUAUCGUUUAAGGCGUCGGCUUAACCGGCGUAGGGCGGUAGAUACUGUGGAUCUGGAAUGCGGUUGGGGAAGACAGAAUUCCUGGUGUAGCGGUGGAAUGCGCAGAGAUCAGGAGGAAUACCGAAGGCGAAGGCAGUCUUCCAAGCCGUUAUUGACGCUCAACUGCGAAGGUGUGGGUAUCAAACAGGAUUAGAUACCCUGGUAGUCCCU